AGAGUCAUUUCAGUCACUGUUAGCUGGUGCCAUGGAGCCUCUAGGGACAGUGACCAUUUUGAUGAUCAUAUGUAUCUCUUGCCUUGUUUUCCUUGCAGUCAGGAGCAGGACGCCAGAGAAUGCAAAGCAGCUGCCACCUGGCCCACCUCCACUGCCCAUCAUAGGGAACGCUCUGCAGCUGAAGACCAACAACCUGGCCCAGGUUCUCCAGGAGGUAAGCCAAAGAUGAGCACCUUCCUCAACAGUUGUCUGUUGAUUACCGUUACCUGUUUGCAAGCCUCUUUCCAUCUGACUCUUUUGGAAGGGGACAGUCCAUUGUCAGUUUGUUUAUUUAUACAUUGUACCAUCUGGGUGCAGGGCACAUUUGCAGAGUCUAAGGCAACAGACUCUGCACUUUGACAGAGGAGAGGCAAGAGAGGGAGGGGAGGCAUCCAGACCAGAGGAAAAGAAUAGCAGAAUCGCUGUGAUUUCAGUGGCACGGACUUGCGCUUGGCUACAUCAGCAGGGAUGGGGAGCAGGGACUUGUCGCAAAGGCUCCACAGAAAAGAGGUGGACUUUGAGCAGGUCCCACAACUCCACAAAGGGGGUUGUUUUAUUGUCAUUUUAUUGUCUUAUGCUUAAAAUAAAAGCCAUAAACCCCCCUUCUGAGUAACGAACUUUAAAAAGCAACAGUGCAAUUUUCAUACUAUAUUAGAGACAGGGGGCGGGGGUGGGUCCAGUUCUCCCUCCACACAUGGAUGGUUUGGGCAUUAUUGCCCUCUGAACAUUUUUAGCCUCUGCUGGACAGUGGGGAGUUCAUAGUCUUCUUCUAUUUUGAAAAGCUGCUACUUCAUUUCCCCCAGAAUGUGGUUGGAAGGUACUUUAAGAAUUCCCUUAGAAAAAUGAGUGUGACGUGAGAUAUAACAUAUAAUCAUAUUUAUGGUAUAGAGAAAGUGGACAGGAAAACACUCUUACCCCCCUCUCAUAAUGCCAUACCCUUCAACAUUUCUCCAAAGAAAAAAGGGACAUCCCAUUCCAUAAUGAUAAUUUUACUAUUUAUAGCCCACACACCCUACUGGGUUGCCCCAGCCACUCUGGACAGCUUCCAACAUAUAUAAAAACAUAAUUAAAACAUUAAAAAUUAACCAAAAACCACUUCCCUAUUCAGGAUUGCCUUCAGAGGGGAUCGGAUAACUCUAUACCCUCCAACAUUUCCCCAGUGAAGAUAGGGACAGCCUAAGGACAUUCUGUGAUCAACCUGUGAUGGCUUCUCUAAAUCAGUGAUGUCCCUGGAAAAUAGGGACACUUGAAGGGUCUGUAAUGCUAAAACUUGGAGUCUUCAAUUAAAGCUGAGUGUUGGAAGAUUUACAACACAUGCAAGAUAGUAGUUCUUCAUACAGUGCAUAUUGAAACUGUGGAAUUCACUGUGGAAUUUUGUUAAGACAAAAUUCAUUGAAGAUAAAGCUACCCAUAGCUGCUAGCGAUUAUGCUGAACCUCCACCAGUUCCAGGGACCUGCAGGAGGGGAGCGUGCUAUCAGUGGCGUAGCGUGGGGGUGCAGGGGGGGCCGGCCGCACCGGGCGCAACAUCCGGGGGGGCGCUCGCACUCGCAGCUCUCUGCCCCUACCUGGCUCACUCACUCUCUCUCACUGCAGUGCUGGCUGUGCGAAUCCAAUCCAAGCCGCUGGGUCGCUGCCCACUGUGGAGGGGGUGGGUGCCAGGCGUGCAGUGCAGAGAGAGAGCGAGGGACUAUCUGGGGGAGGGACAGUGCAGCGGCCGCCCAGCACAGCGCUGAGCGCGGGAGAGAACCACACCACACCAGACCAGACCAGGCAGCAGCAAGAAGAAGCUGGGAGCGGCGGCAGGUUAGGGGUUAGGGGGCGCAAAUUACUUGCCUUGCCCCGGGUUAGGGGGCGCAAAUUACUUGCCUUGUCCCGGGUUAGGGGGCGCAAAUUACUUGCCUUGCCCCGGGUUAGGGGGCGCAAAUUACUUGCCUUGCCCCGGGUGCUGACAACCCAUGCUACGCCGCUGCGUGCUAUUGCACUCAGGUCUUGUUUUUGAGCUUCCCAGAAGAACUGUGUUGGCCACUGUGAUAACAGUCGUGGACUAGUUGGCCUUUGGCCUGAUCUAGCUGCAGAACACUUCUGUAUGUUAUUAAGAGUCAUGUGGUUCAGAUGCCCAUAGUGAGUCUGGGGGCAGCGGGGCUCUACAUCAGCUAUAUGAACCUCUCCUAACCUGCAAACCCACCUAGAUGUGUGUCCUUCUCUAUCUUUUUUCCAGUUUGGUGAGAAGUAUGGCUCUGUGUUCACAAUGUAUUUUGGAGCAGAACGUGUUGUGGUGCUGCAUGGCUAUGAUGCAGUGAAAGAAGCACUGAUCGACCGUGGAGAUGAAUUUGCUGCCAGGGGACACCUGCCAUUAGCUGAUGAUGCCAACAAGGGAUUAGGUAUUCUUUGCUGGUUGACCGGGGGGGGGGGGGACAGGAAAAUCCCUCUAUUCAUGAAAAUAAAGCAAAAAAGGUUGCAAAGACAGGUCACUGCAUCUUGUUCCCACUGGACAGUAGCAAUAGAUAAUUAGCAGCCUUUUAAUGGCAUAGCUAUAUAUUGGCCAUUGCCAUUUAAGAGAGAAAUGAGCCACCUCAUAAAAGUACUUAAGCAAUAUCUAGGACAGUAGCGGAGAAAGGUGGUUACAGCUAGCAUCAAAACAUCUAGAGCAAGCAUCAAAAAUUAAAGCAGGAUUGAAUGAGUCCCUAGCCUUUAAAAAUAAUGGUCUGGGGUAAUUCUGGUGCGGGCAGUAAGUGUGAGAGUUAUGUGAGCAGAAUUCCCUGGCCUGGAUCUUGUGAAUCAAGAAGCUCUCCAUACCAAGAAAGAGUUUCAAAGUUACUGCAAGCUAUCGUUAAAUUUGUUACCAAAAAAAUAAAUAAAUACAAAUCAACACAUUGCACUUAUACAACUAGCAAUGUAGUUGUACUUUUCUUUAAGUUCUUUCUGGUUAAUAUAGUCCAAGACCUAUUGCUUCUUCAUUAUACUGGCAGCUUCAGAGAGAGACCCAGGCUCCAAGAGAUGAAUUAUCUGUUAACAUAACUAUCGAAACAUUGAAACCUCUUUUUAAGCUUUAGCUGCAAAAAUGGACAUUCUGUAAAUGCAAACCUCCACUACGUUUCAUACACAACACGCACAAUCAUAGCAUGUUAUGCACAUUAAACACAUAUAUUUUACAGUAAGGGCAUGUAUCAGAAGACUGGCCAGCUACUGAUUAUGGAAUAAGGAGGCACCAAAGUACCAAGUCUCCAGGUGGUCUGGAGCCAAGAAUAAGAGCCUCCUGCUCUUCCAACCUGCUUCUUCUGCUCUCCCUUUCAGUCCAUCCAUCUCCUUCAUGCCCAUUUCCUCUUCUGCUUUCCAGGAAUUAUAUUCAGCAAUGGGGAGGUGUGGAAGCAGCUCCGACAUUUUGCCCUUACCACCCUGCGCAACUUUGGCAUGGGAAAGAAAAGUAUUGAGGAGAGGAUCCAGGAGGAAGCACAGUUCCUGCUAGAAAAGUUCCAGGACACGCAGGGUGGGUAGCCACUGCCCCUCAUCCACAUAGGCUUAUCAAGCAGACCCCCUUAAACAUCACAACAGAAUCUGGGGUACAUUACAACGGAUUAUUAACCACCAACUCAUAAAGAAAUAUCAUGGUGGUUACAAGGAAAUUAUUAAAAAAAUUAAAAUCGUAAAACACAGAACUAGUGACCAAAACUGAAUCAAAUAAAUUACCUAAAAACACUUCUGAAAUACAAACAUUUUCAUCAGGUGAUGAAAUGCCAGAAUUCUAGCUGGUUUCAAUAGGAACCACAUUCCAAAGCACAGGUGCCAUUGUGCUCAAAGUUUUAAUAGAUAUAAUUGAUAUCUGCAUUGAUAUGAAACAAACAUGUGAUGAGUGUGUGGCAAUUUGGAAGGCUUCGCCAGAUGCUCAUAUUGAUAUGACCAGUGGGUAUGGGCUAAGGUGGUCCUUAGGUCACCUGGUCCUAGGUAACUGAGGACUUCAUACACACCCGUAAUGCACUGAACUUACCUUGUCAAUGUAAUGGCAAGAUGCAUAGCUUUCAGCAGGGGUGUAAUAUGCUGACACAGAGCAGUUCCAACUAAAGCCCGGCUGCUGCUUCUCUAUCAACUGCAAGAGUGCUCCACAGAUAUUGUUGAAUUCCAGCUGCUUUCAGCCCCAACAGUCAACAGUGGUCCAGAAGUUAGAGUCUAGCAGCAUCUGAAGUGCUUUAGAUUCCCUAGUUUUAGUCUAGACUUCACCAAGGCCUGCACCACUGUGGUCACCCUUUCCUAUCUAAGGAUAUAUUGGCUGAAGCUGGAGGAAAGCACCUUGGAAAGUCCUUGGAAGAAACCACUCAUAGCCACUGAAGAUGCCCAUGCCUCCAGAAUUGUUGUGAGAAAGGCAGCUUCCUGUCUGACCACUGAGGCCAGGAGCCAGGAAAUGGCAGCUCAGAAAUUCCAGACUAGAUUAUUGCCUAAAACCUGUAGUGGGGUUGUAUAAUUAUUAUUUUUUUUGUUCUUCCAGAGAAGCCCUUGGAUCCAACCUACUUGCUCAGUUGCGCUCUCUCCAAUGUCAUUUGUGCAAUUAUCUUUGGGAAACGAUAUGAUUAUAAUGACAAGAAUUUCCAAUCCAUGAUGAGCUUAAUGAAUGAAAACUUUCAGGUUUUUAGCUCUCCUUGGGGACAGGUAGGUGCCAUCUGGUUAAAUGCAUUCUUUUCCACAAAGUCUAAAGUUUACUUGCAUGUGGAAUAUUUAUUUAUGUAGAUACUGCCUCUGGCUGUGGCCAUUUUCCUGCUGUUUAAAUGUCUUUCUUCCAGGCUUCUCAUGGCCCAUACUGCCUCUGCCUCUUAAUAUUUCUGUUAAUGUCCUAGUUGCAGCCUUGCCAUGGGUAACUGGUUAGCCACUGUGACAGCAGGAUGUGCCACUGGCCUGAUUCAAUAGUCUCUUCUUACGUUCUUAUGUUUUUAAUUUGGAGAUCCAGUCAAGGCACACAAUGCACCUGGGUCUAGUAACCAAGGUUUGACUUAACAGCAGCCCAGUGGAGCAGGAAGUAAAGCUUAACCAGUAAAACCCACACGCUCAAGUUUCUAACUGGAACUAAUCACUUGGGAUGUAUAUACACUGCCAUUGCCUCUGCAUCCAGUGUGCUUCCACCACUGGUUUGAGAAGGUGUGAAUACAUGACGUUAGCCACAAUCCAUAUCUAUCCUGCCUUGUUGCAUUUUAAGCCAGCGAUGUGUACACAGCCUGGUUUCAACAGGAGGAGCAGAUGGGACUAAAUUUAGAGAUAUGUAUGUAACCCCAUAGCUCAGCUUUACACCAUUUGGCUUAUUUAUAUAGGGUCCCAGAGUCAAUUCCUAGUAGCAUUCCUAGUUAGGAAUGGGACUCCUGAAUGAUACCCAGCAGAGCUGCUGCAUAGGCAGUACUGACCUUGAGAGAACAAUGGUCUCAUUCAGUAUAUACCUUUUAACAUGUGGAGUUUUUUGGGGGGGGUAAUUGGGUUGUUGUUCUUAUUUUGAUUAUGCAUUUUGUGGUUUUAUAUUUUGAUUUUAGUCUGUGAACCGCCCUGAGACCUGUGGGUAUAAAUCUGCAUAUGACCUCUACAAACAUUAGGUAGAGGGUGGGAAAGCACUAACUGAGGGGAAGGGAAGAUAAUACAAUGCAGUACAAUCAAUGAAGCACCACCCAGUAAUGCAGAUGGGGAACAUCUACAUAGAUUUGGGAGGCAUUGGUAGUGAAAAUGAUGGCGUGUGGACACAGAGUUGAAAUGCACACAAGGCAGCAGUGGCCAACAUUAUACUGAAGCCCGAGUGUGGACAAACCCUGACUGAGGCUGGUGCCAAUGGGUCUAUUGUGGUGUUUCUUCUAGCUCUACAACAUCUUUCCUUCUUUGAUGAAAUGCAUCCCUGGGCCCCACCACAAAGUGCUGAAAAACAACUUGGCACUCAGAGAGUUUGUUUUGGAGGAGGUUGAAGAGCACAAGGCCACUCUGGACGCCAACUCACCUCGGGAUUUUAUCGACUGCUUCCUUAUGAAAAUGGAUCAGGUAAUCAUGAAAACUCACAGAACUCUCCAAGUGGGUUCUCCUGUGACUCCUGAAGCUUCCCAACCAGCAGACUUCCAUCCAGCUUCUUGUGGGGAAUACCAAGCAAAGAGAUUCCUGCCCACACCCCAUUGGAGUAGAUUCAUUUCCCAUUGCUGACUUGUUCCUGCAGUAAGUGGGAAGUUCUUUCUAAUGAUUAGCCCUCUGGGCAAGGAAUGUCCAGAGGAACAAGCUAUAAAAAGACUUGAGAUAAGAUGUGUCUUGGGAAGAGAGCUGGUCCCAGUGGCGCAAUUAAAUUCUUGUUAUGUUGUACUCAGAACAAUUGAGUCGACUCCACUGGCUGUGUUGUGUGUUUCUGCAGGAAAAAGGUAAUAGUGCAUCCAAUUUCACCAUUGAAAACUUGGCCAUAAGCACAGUUGACUUGUUUGUGGCUGGAACAGAGACCACCAGCACCACAUUGCGAUACGGGUUCAUGAUCCUCCUCAAAUACCCAGAGAUACAAGGUAAAACAGAUACGUUAUUAGUACUUAUUAUUCUAGUUCUUUCCCAGAUGUAUGUGUCACAGGUCCAAGAGGUGGUUGUUCUGCCACUUUCCCCAGGAAAACCCACUGUUCAUUGCUGAAUGUUAAUCAUCGCUGACUGACAUCAGCAGUAAACAGAAGGCUUUCGUGGAGACAACAGUGUGUGUAUGUGUGUGUGUGUGUGUGUGGGGACAAAAUGCUCAGACCCAUGCCUAGAAAUCCCAGCAAAAACAGAAGUGUGGAUUGUUGGUUUCUAUUUCCCUCACUGAGCAGCAACUGCAGUCGCAAGACAUUGUUUUGCAUUCCACAGUCUGUACUGUUGGGGUUUCUCACGGGAAAGGGAGACUGGAUGUGACGUACACUGGUUUCCUGUUUUUUCACUGUGAUUCUCUCCGAGCUGUUGAGGAGAGAGGGUGCAUUUUUCUGCUCCUGCAGAGGCAAGAUGUCUUUCUGUAAUAUACCAGCUUUGAACUGUAAAUAAAGCAAUAUAGAGUAUGUAGCACGUAUUCUUCAUCCUUCCGCUGGCCACGACAGACUCUGCUUUAAAUCAACACGUGGUUAUGGACUCCAGAGGUCGAAUCGGAGUGCCGGCAAAGGAUCGGAAUGCAGAGGAACGGAUCGGAAAGGAAUCUGCUCUGCGCGUAGAAGUGAUUGAUGAGGUAUGUGCUACUGCUCCGGGCAGCCUGCCAGCUUCAAGUUAAUGGCUUUAUGGCUGGACUUUGAACUUUAAAGCCGGUUUUGCAAAUAGGCAAACGGCUCCCAGGCACAAGUCACUAUGCUGGGGAAAUCGAAAGUAACUUUUAAGUGUGCCUUUGUAAUGAGGCAGCUGCAGCAGUGACGCAGCAAGAUUUAAAGCAGCAUAUGACGCUGAAGGCUAAUGCCAGAGUCAUGAUGGCCCUUCAGGAUGCUUGUAGGAUUCCUAAGCUCAACAAGAAUAAUUACAGCGACUGGGUUCAGUAUGCAGAGGCAAUUCUGCGGAAAGAGGGUUUGUUUGAGGUGAUUACAGAAACCCCCCCAGUGCCAGUUACAGAUGCAUGGGAAGCUAAGGAUUCCAAAGCAAGGGUAACUCUUACAUUGAUAGUAUCCCCAGAAGAGCUCUGUCUAUUGCGUGAUAAGACCUCAGCCAGAGAAAUUUGGGACGCUCUGAGAGAGGCUCACUUAAGGACAGAAGCUGGAUCUACUAUGUUUUACUUUAACAAGCUGCAUAAUAUGGCUCUUGCUGAAGGUGGAGAUGUGCGUUUACAUCUGAUGGAGAUGCAAAAUCUGAGACAUGAGCUGCAACAGAGAGGACUCAACUUUCCAGAGGCUGUGUAUUCUUUCAUGAUACUACAAUCUUUGGGUUCAGGUUGGGAGUCUGUUGCAACCCAGAUUGCUGUGCAACCAACUGCUCAGCUGACAGUGGACUUUGUUACUGCCGUGAUUUUAAAUGAAGCAGAUCGCCGGGGUGCUAGCUGCAUGGGCAAGGGAGAGUCUUCACAGACGUCAUCCCAUAGUGCAGUGGAACCACCAGAUGGCGCCAAAGCUUUGAAGGCAGUGAAAUGCCACUCGUGUGGACGUCUAGGCCAUAUGAAGAGGGAAUGCAGACAUCCCAGGGCCAAGACAGAGCAGCGCAGCGAAAGCUCAUCGCGCGGAAAAGGCCGAGGCAAAGGCAAAGGUCCGGUGUCUAGGACAACGCAGCACAAGGCUAUGGUUUCACGCUUCACUCCAAAGGUUGCAGAGGUCCAGAAGACGUCUAGAUCUUUCUUCGUUGUUGAUUCAGCGGCGACCCACCACAUGUGCAACGAUAAGAAACUGUUUGUGUCUUUUACACCGCAGGAAGGUGCGAUUCACCAGGCGGAUGACCACACUAUUCCCAGUAAAGGCUACGGAACUGUUGUUCUUCACAGUUUGGACUUAUCGAUACAGAAUGUGCUUUACGUGCCAGACGCCAAACAUAAUCUGCUCAGCGUUGGACAGCUGAAUGAGCGGAACAUUGACGUUUCCUUCAAGAACAAGAAGUGCAUCAUCACAAAGAAAAAUGAUUAUGUAUUGCAUGCAGAAUAUGUUGAUCAUUUGUUUGUUUUGUAUUAUGAUGAUGUGGUGCAGGAUGACACUUGUUGCAUUGCAGGUUCUAACAAAGUUUGCAUGCAGAAUGUAUUCACGAUUUUCAUCGCAAAUUUGGUCAUUUGCAUUUUGAGGCAGUAUCUAAAAUGCCUGCCUUGGUUGAAGGUAUGACUAUUAAACCCUGCAGGUACCACAUGAAGUGCAAAGCAUGCGCAGCAAACAAGGUGAAAAUGGCUGCGAAAGGUAAGGUGUCUAGUAGGAAGCUACAGAACCAUACCAGGUUGUUCAUGCUGAUUUGGUUGGACCACUAACGCCCUCUUUGGGUGGAAAUAGAUACUUCAUGGUUCUCAUUGAUGCAUUUUCUAGAUAUAUUUUUGUGUACAAUCUCAAGCAGAAAUCGGAGGCUUUUCCUAGGUUCAAGGAAUUCUGUGCUUGGUUGGAAAAUGUGCAUGGUAAGAAGAUAAAGACUCUUUUCAGUGAUCGCGGGGAAUUCACUUCUCAGCAGUUUGAAGCUUUUCUGACUGAGAAAGGAAUUCAACACGAUUUGUCUAGUCCUCGCUCGCCAUGGCAGAAUGGACUUGCGGAACGGGCAAAUCAAACAUUGCUUCAAUCCCCCCCCCACCCACCCCCCCCCCCCCCCACCCCCCCCCCCCCCCCCCCCCCCCCCCCCCCCCCCCCCCCCCCCCCCACCCCCCCCCCCCCCCACCCCCAAAAGGUUGCAAAGACAGGUCAUUGCAUCUUGAGAUAAACUUUCCUAAUUAAUGUUCCCACUGGACUGUAGCAAUAGAUAAUUAGCAGCCUUUUAAUGGCAGAGCUAUAUAUUGGGCAUUGCCAUUUAAGAGAGAAAUGAGCCAUCUCAUAGCAGUACUUAAGCAAUAUCUAGGGCUGUAGCGGACAAAGGUGGGUGUGGUGGGUGUGGUGGGUGCUGGCCGCCCUGGGUGAAAUCCCUGAGGGGUUCGCCCCUCAGAUCGCCACAGGUGGCACCCCCCUGGGAUGUGCGUUGCCGCCAGCACCCCCCGGAAGCUCCCCUCCACCAUGCGCCGCCUUACACCCACGGGUGCUUACCCCUGCCCACGCAGGCCGCUCCAGGUGCUGGAGCAGCUAGGUCCUCCUCUGGUCUAGAGCAAGCACCAAAAAAUUAAAUUGAAUGAGUCUCUAGCCUUUAAAAAUAAUGGUCUGGGGUAAUUCUGGUGUGGGCAGUAAGUGUGAGAGUUAUGUGAGCAGAAUUCCCUGGCCUGGGUUUUGUGAAUCAAUAAGCUCUCCACACCAAGAAAGAGUUUCUUUUUUUAAAAAAAUGAUAUUUAUUGAGAAUUUAAAAUUACAAAGAAAGAAAGAAAACAAGAGAAAAAGAAAAAGAAAGAAGACGGUAGACAAAAAUAACAAUUGAACAAUACAAGUCAAUAAAAAACCAAAGUCAAAGAAAAAAAAACCAAAACAAAACACACAAUACAUCAAAAUCAAAAAACAAAAAUAAACAAAAAAUUUAAAAACAAAUCCAAUAUUCCCAAAUCCUUAUUUUCCAUUAACUUAUUUCAUCGACCUCCUCACACCUCCCUUUUUUGUAUUCUAGUUAUUAAUUAUCUCAGCAAAUCUUUUCCAUCUUUCACAAUAUUCUGUCAUUAAAUUACCUUAAUCUAUUUUAACCUUAUCUUACCAUAAAAAAACCUAAAACUUAAAACUUAAAUCUUAUUUAUACCUAAUUCUUUUAAACAUAAAAUAUUCUUACAUAAUUCUUUUUAACAUUUCUACUAAAGCCAAAUAAUUUCAUUCCAACAUUUUUCUAGUACUCAUUAAUUUUACGAUAAUUUCCUAAAUAAAUUUUUAAAACUUUCUUCCAAUCUUCAUCCAUCGUCUCUUCUUCCUGGUCUUGGGUUUUGUCAGUCCUUUCUAUCCCAUCCAUCUAGUCCAUCAACCUGGUGACCUUCUAUCCGAGGCUCUUAAGUCUUUUCCAUGUCCCUUCCGCAGGUCUUCUUCAUGUUUGUACCUGUACUUUACUUUGUCUUCUGCUGAUCUUAUUCUUAAUUUCCUUCCUUUCUCUCGGGGAGACUCCAACUUGACAAUAUCCUUGUCCCUACUCGACAAGUCAGCCCAUUCUCCAUAGUCGACACUGAAAUCCAUAUGAUAUUUAGAGGCAUGUUUCAAAGUCCCUCCAAAGUUAAGGGCCCCCACAACUCACAACUCCCCCGGGCCCAAAGCCAAAUUCGAAAGGUCAAAACAUCCCUGCAUAGGGGGAUCUAUCCAGCUUCCCAUCUCCAAGCCAAACAGAACUCCAUCUCUCCAAAUCUGGCUUUCUCCAGAUUCAUUCGUCAGAUCCAACAACUUAUGUUCCUGCAGGGCCACAGCUCUCUCCAUUUCUGCUACUUGAGGUUCAGGAACAACCUCCUUCUUUAUCUUCUUCACCACUUGAUCUGUCAAAGCACAUUCCUGGAUUAAUUCCUGAGUGGGUUCUAUAUAGGUACUCGCUGUUUGUCCAAAUUUUCCGACUGCAACAGUCAUCAAAUCCAUCUUCUCAUGUAGCUGUUCCAGUAAAGCACUUGUCUUGCAAAGAGCAAGCACUAAUGCUUGUUCUAGGCACAUUCUUGUUCAAAGUCAAAGUCUGGUCCCACGAUCUUUAAUCUCUACAGCUGCAAAGCUCCCCAGAUCGACUCUAAUAACAGUUUCACAAGCUCCCUCUAGGGGAAACAAUUUCUAUUUGUAUCCGUCUUUUUAAAAGCAGAUCUAGCAACAAAGUUCCUUUCCUUUUUCAGAUAUUUUGUUUCUUUUAAAUGCAAGAGGGAACAUUGGAAUCAAUAUGUUUCUCUUUUUUAACUAUCUGUCAAAAACGUUUGUCCACAGUCAAUGAACUUCCCCAAAGCGUCCGUCCUGACACCCCGCUCCCAGGUUCAAGACGGUGGAAAUUUAUCUUUCUUUACUCUCUCUUCUGCAGGUUUAAACAGUCUAAAAAGAUUCCCCCCUCUUCUCCUACCUCCAAGGGGUUUAGUAAUUUUAAAUGAUGGAAAUUUAAUCCUUUACAGACGACUUUCCAGACUCUAGCUUGCAAUGUCUUUGCUUCAAUCUAUUUACAAAAGCGGAAGGCAGACUUCCUGUUUAGACCUUCCCGCUUCGGUGCCAAAUUAAGAAAUUUCAUAGUCCAAUUUUCCGUUCUACUCACAAGCAGUUGUUUAAAAUCCAAUUGUCCACAGGAAAAAGUCAGCGCUCUCCGGCAACAGCAAUGCGGCUUCACUCCAUGAAAAAAGCAGUCGAUUCGAAGCACCGCGCCAUUCACCCCACGUCGCUCCGGAUCCCCGAAACCGGGUUUCCCCGCGAAUAGGGGAGGCGCAAAAGGUGCCAGCCGAAUCCCACAUCCACAGGCUUCUCCCGCCUGUGGUUUUUAAUGGGUCUCCGCCUCACCGUGGCAGUCCAAACCCUAAUUCUCACGAAGCGGAUUCCUCCCGAUCAGAGGAAAUCCGCCAUUGCCAGAGGUGCUAACCCGGAAGUCCACACCAAGAAAGAGUUUCAAAGUUACUGCAAGCUAUCGUUAAAUUUGUUACCAAAAAUAAAUAAAUAAAUAGAAAUCAACACAUUGCACUUAUACAACUAGCAAUGUAGUCCAGUUUUCUUUAAGUUCUUUCUGGUUAAUAUAGUCCAAGAACUAUUGCUUCUUCAUUAUACUGGCAGCUUCAGAGAGAGACCCAGGCUCCAAGAGAUAAAUUAUCAGUUAACAUAAAUAUCAAAACAUUGAAACCUCUUUUUAAGCUUUAGCUGCAAAAAUGGACAUUCUGCAAAUGCAAACCUCCACUACAUUUCAUACACAACACACACACAAACAUAGCAUUUUAUGCACAUUAAACACAGAUAUUUUACAGUAAGGGCAUGUAUCAGAAGACUGGCCAGCUACUGCUUAUGGAAUAAGGAGGCACCAAAGUACCAAGUCUUCAGGUGGUCUGGAGCCAAGAAUAAGAGCCUCCUGCUCUUCCAACCUGCUUCUUCUGCUCUCUCUUUCAGUCCAUCCAUCUCCUUCAUGCCCAUUUCCUCUUCUGCUUUCCAGGAAUUAUAUUCAGCAAUGGGGAGGUGUGGAAGCAGCUCCGACGUUUUGCCCUUACCACCCUGCGCAACUUUGGCAUGGGAAAGAAAAGUAUUGAGGAGAGGAUCCAGGAGGAAGCACAGUUCCUGCUAGAAAAGUUCCAAGACACUCAGGGUGGGUAGCCACUGCCCCUCAUCCACAUAGGCUUAUCAAGCAGACCCCUUGAACAUCACAACAGAUUCUGGGGUACAUUACAACAGAUUAUUAACCAUCAACUCAUAAAGAAAUAUCAUGGUGGGUACAAACAAAUUAUAAAAAAAUUAAAAUCGUAAAACACAGAACUAGUGACCAACACUGAAUCAAAUAAAUUGCCUAAAAACACGUGAAAUACAAACAUUUUCAUCAGGUGAUGAAAUGCCAAAAUUCUAGCUGGUUUCAAUAGGAACCAUAUUCCAAAGCACAGGUGCCAUUGUGCUCAAAGUUUUAAUAGAUAUAAUAGAUAUCUGCAUUGAUAUGAAACAAACAUGUGAUGAGUGUGUGGCAAUUUGGAAGGCUUCUCCUGAUGGUCAUAGUGAUCUGCGCAGUGUGUAUGGGACAAGGUGGUCCUUAGGUCACCUGGUCCUAGGUCACUCAGAGCUUCAUACACACCAGUAAUGCACUGAACUUACAUUGUCAAUGUAAUGGCAAGCAAUGCAUAGCUUUCAGCAGGGGUGUAAUAUGCUGACACAGACCAGUUCCAAAUAAAGCCCAGCUGCUGCUUCUCUAUCAACUGCAAGAGUGCUCCACAGAUAUUGUUGAAUUCCAGCUGCUUUCAGCCCCAACAGACAUCAGUGGUCCAGAAGUUACAGUCCAGCAGCAUCUGAAGUGCUUUAGAUUCCCUAGUUUUAGUCUAAACUUCACCAAGGCCUGCUCCACUGUGGUCACUCUUUCCUAUAUAAGGAUAUAUUGGCUGAAGCUGGAGGAAAGCACCUUGGAAAGUCCUUGGAAGAAACCACUCAUAGCCACUGAAGAUGCCCAUGCCUCCAGCAUUGUUGUGAGAAAGGCAGCUCCCUGUCUGACCACUGAGGCCAGGAGCCAGGAAAUGGCAGCUCAGAAAUUCCAGACUAGAUUAUUGCCUAAAACCUGUAGUGGGGUUGUAUAAUUAUUUUUUUUGUUAUCCUUCCAGAGAAGCCCUUGGAUCCAACCUACUCGCUCAGUUGCGCUCUCUCCAAUGUCAUUUGUGCAAUUGUCUUUGGGAAACGAUACGAUUAUAAUGACAAGAAGUUCCUAUCCAUGAUGAGCUUAAUGAAUGAAAACUUUCAGGUUUUUAGCUCUUCUUGGGGACAGGUAGGUGCCAUCUUUUUAAAGGCCCUUUUCCACAAAGUCUAAAUUUUCCUACUGUUUAAAUUCUUUCUUCCAGGCUUCUCAUGGCCCAUACUGCCUCUGCCUCUUGAUAUUUCUGUUAAUGUCCUAGUUGCAGCCUUGCCAUGGGUAACUGGUUAGCCACUGUGACAGCACAAUGGGCCACUGGCCUGAUUCAAUAGUCUCUUCUUACGUUCUUAUGUUUUUAAUUUGGAGUUCCAGUCAAGGUCGGUGCAUUCAGUCCCAAUACCUGGGUCUAGUAACCAAGGUUUAACUUAACAGCAGCCCAGUGGAAAAGGAACUAAAGCUUAAGCAGUUUUGGAAGUGGGGGUGGGGGAUUGUUGCAUGAUUUCUCAGUUUUUUGUAAAGGUACACAUAGGAGAAAUAAAAAAAUAAAAAAAUCUGCAUAUGACCUCUACAACCAUUAGGCAGAGGGUGAGAAAGCACUAACUGAGGAGAAGGGAAGAUAAUACAAUGCAGUACAAUCAAUGAAGCACCACCCAGUAAUGCAGAUGGGGAACAUCUACAUAGAUUUGGGAGGCAUUGGUAGUGAAAAUGAUGGUGUGUGGACACAGAGUUGAAAUGCACACAAGGCAGCAGUGGCCAACAUUAUACUGAAGCCCGAGUGUGGACAAACCCUGACUGAGGCUGGUGCCAAUGGGUCUCUUGUGGUGUUUCUUCUAGCUCUACAACCUCUUUCCUUCUUUGAUGAAAUGCAUCCCUGGGCCCCACCAUAAAGUGCUGAAAAACAACUUGGCACUCAGAGAGUUUGUUUUGGAGGAGGUUGAAGAGCACAAGCCCACUCUGGACCCCAGCUCACCUCGGGAUUUUAUCGACUGCUUCCUUAUGAAAAUGGAUCAGGUAAUCAUGAAAACUCACAGACCUCUCCAUGUGGGUUCUCCUGCCACUCCUGAAGCUUCCCAACCAGCAGACUUCCAUCCAGCUUCUUGUGGGGAAUGCCAAGGAAAGAGAUUCCUGCCCACACCCCAUUGGAGUAGAUUCAUUUCCCAUUGCUGACUUGUUCCUGCAGUAAGUGGGAAGUUCUUUCUAAUGAUUAGCCCUCUGGGCAAGGAAUGUCAAGAGGAAUGAGCUGUAAAAGGACUUGAGAUAAGAUGUUGUAUCUUGGGACGGGAGCUGGUCCCAGUGGCACAGUUAAAUUCUUGUUAUGUUGUACUCAGAACAAUUGAGUUGACUCCACUGACUGUGUUGUGUGUUUCUGCAGGAAAAAGGUAAUAGUGCAUCCCAUUUCACCAUUGAAAACUUGGCCAUAAGCACAGUUGACUUGUUUGCGGCUGGAACAGAGACCACCAGCACCACACUGCGAUACGGGUUCAUGAUCCUCCUCAAAUACCCAAAGAUACAAGGUAAAACAGAUGCGUUAUUAGUACUUAUUAUUCUAGUUCUUUCCCAGAUUUAUGUGUCACAGGUCCAAGAGGUGGUUGUUCUGCCACUUUCCCCAGGAAAACACACUGUUCAUUGCUGAAUGUUAACCAUCGCUGACUGACAUAAGCAGUAAACAGAAGGCUUUCCUGGAGACCACAGUGGGGAUGUGUGUGUGGACAAAAUGCUCAGACCCAUGCCUAGAAAUCCCAGCAAAAACAGACGUGUGGAUGAGCUCUUAUAGCUGACCAUAUUGCAAACCCCAGGAUUUUAUAUACAAGCAGUAACAACUUGAAUUUGGCUCAGUAGUAUAGUGGCAGCCAGUGCAGAUCCUUUAGACAAAGGCAUCACAUCCUGCACCAGCUGCACUUUUUGUGCCAGCCUGAAGGGUAGCCCACAAAGGCACAACCACAAGGGCCAGGGGUCAAAAGGCCCUCAGGUAGGAUCAGAAUCACUGCAGGACAGUGCCUCCAAUAGGAAUCCCUCUAAGCUGGACCAUCACUUGCUCCUAAAACUUCCCUAAAGAGGAGGCUUUUGUCCCUCUGGGCUCCUUUUGGAUAAAAAUUGAAUUAAUAUAUAAAUAAUUGCAGUUAUACAAUAUUUCCCUGUUUACAGAUGGAUUACUGAAGGUGAGCUACAAUAAUUUGUCUGAGUUAAUAUGAUGAGUCAAUAGAAAGUUGGCAUCAGAAAACAUUGAAAGCUCCAAAAAUGUGCAGGGGCUGGCAGGCACUCCCAUGAAGUUUCAAUUUCUUCUAUGAUAUUUCCUGCACUGGUGUUAAACCUCAUUCUUCCCAUUACAGAGAAAGUGCAUGAAGAAAUUGACCGAGUUAUUGGCCGAUCACGAAGUCCUUGCAUAGCAGAUCGUGGGGAAAUGCCUUACACAGAUGCUGUCAUCCAUGAGAUCCAGAGGUUCAUCUCUCUCAUCCCACUGAGCGUCCCUCAUGCAGUACUCAAAGACACACCGUUCAGACAAUAUGUCAUUCCAAAGGUUAGCUCUUUUCAAGGCUCUAAGUAGUAAUAGUAGGCUGUUAGCCAUGAUGGCUAUAUUCUACCUCCAUGGUGAGAGGCAGCAUGCUUCUGAAUACCAGUGGGUGGAAACCACAGGAACUGAGAGUGCUGUCUUGUUUAGAUUAUGUUGAUGGGCUUCCCAUGGGCAUUUGGUUGGACACCAUGAAAACAGGAUGCUGGACGAGAUGGGGCCACUGGACUGAUCCAGCAGAGCUUUUCUUCUCUUCUUAUGUACAAGCAAGGGAAGUAGUUUAGCCCAACUCCUAAAGUGUAGCUUGGCAUCUUCAGGCCUGAACUUCAUUUUAAACACCCUAUUGCCUUCUGAACCUGCUCCAGUCUUUUUCUGGAUCAACAAAGUACCUUCCUUUUUGUUAGUGCCUUCCCACACCAUUCCUUUGGGUGUCAUGGCCAUCCAGCCCAUUUCUUUGCACUCUCUGCAGGGCACUACCAUAUAUCCAAGUCUGAUGUCUGUGCUACAUGACAGCAAAGAAUUUCCAAACCCCAAAGAAUUUGACCCAGGACAUUUCUUGCACAAAGAUGGCACCUUCAGGAAGAGCGACUAUUUCAUGCCUUUCUCAGCAGGUAAGAUCUCUGCUUCCUCAGUUGGCUGCAGUCUUGGCCAGCUCAGGUCUUUCCCGUCUCCCUAAUCGGCUGGUGUCGGGGCAAUGAGGGGGAACCUCCCUCCUCCUGCAGCCUAAAUUGGAAGGGCUGCCAGUUUGUGAGGGAGGGGCAGAGGCUUCUGGGUCCAUCAGAACUCCUUGUACCUUUCCUGUGACCAGCUGAAGCAAAAGAAAUGGUGGAAAGAGUGACUCUCCCAGGAGCUGUUCUGGAGCAGCACCUUUGCUCCUUUGGCAUGAUUGUUAUUUUCUCCGUAACAGCCAAAGUGGUUGUUAUGCGUCUUACACUUGUGGUUUCCUUUGCAGGGAAGCGGAUAUGUGCGGGGGAAGGUCUGGCCCGUAUGGAGAUCUUCUUGUUCUUGACCACCAUAUUACAGAACUUCAGUCUGAAGUCCAUCAUUGACCCCAAGGACAUCGAUCCCACACCUGUGUUGAGCAGCAUAGGCAACUUCCCUCGGCCCUAUCAGCUCUGCAUUGUCCCUCGCUGAAAAGCCUGCCUCAGGAGGGCUGCACAUGUGGACAAGUCGCAGCCUGGCAAAUCUUUGUUCAAAAAACCCAUAACACAAUAUCUCCUCACGUGUGGAGCCCUAUCUUCUUACCUGACUAGUUGUUGAACUGUUACUUUGGGGAUCAUGCUAGAGACUAUUUCACGUUGAAGACAUUAUUGCAAUGGACAAAUAGCAGCAUUUAGAAAUUAGUCACACACACAAAAAUCCCAUUCUUAUCUUUCUUGCCCCUUCAUAUGCAUAUGUGUGCAGUGGCGUAGCUAGCCGCUGGAGUGACUGGUGCGGGGGCAUGUCCUGCAGCCAGGGUUGUGUUGAGUGACCCAUGGGGGUGGGGCAAGCCUCUCCAAUGCUUGGAGCCUCUUCGCCACCUCCCUCUCAGCUGUAGGGUGUCUGAGGGAGAGGCAGACAGAAAUCCCACGCUGCAGCGCGAAACUUGCAGGUGCCUAAACCACCAUGUCACUCCAAAAAAUAUUCGUGAGGCCAAUUUUUUAAAAACUGAUUUUGUCACACACACCCCAGUGAUGACAUCCAGGGCAGAUGCACCCCCACACCCCCUUCUUCCACCACUGUAUGAGUGUGAUGGGCAAAAUCUGCCAAGAUGGAAGCUUUUUAGCCACUGAGAAGAAGUCCUGUUACUCUUUGUGUCUUUGGAGGGUGCUGCAGAAAUCAAUAGCUUUUGAAAUCUUUUCCCCUUUCACCUAGCAGAACAUCCUUGAGACUUGACAUUUACAAAUGUUUGCCAAAAAUCCCUUUAAGGGUAAUCAUGUUCUAAAGAACAGAUAGCAAUACUGGAUGCAACUGAACUUCUGAGUAAGUAUGGGGAAUGAACUAAGUUGGAUCCAGUGAUAUGCUAGUCCUAGGAAACAUAUCUUCAAGAAAGGCACAGAGCAUAGAUGGGCAAGAUCUCCCAAGCCCACCUUGGAUGAACUUGGAUGAGAAAACUUCUUUUUUAUCCCCCUGAGCCCAACCAAGGCUCUCAUUGUCUUUAAAAAUCUAGGAGGUCCGGGAAACAAGCUAAUGAAAAAUAAGUAAUGGAAAGAUUGAGUUGUUUUUAACUAUUUUUAUUUUGUAUUUUUCUUUUUUCUAUUUUUAUUUUGUAAUAUUUUGAAAACCUUAAUAAAUAUCUUAUUUUUUAAAAAAAAAUCUAGAACAGAGUGAAAAUGGCCCUCCCCCAAAUUCUCCACUUACUUUGUGGGUGGCAAAAUAAGGAAGGUCAUUUCACUGAAUAUUCCCCAAGGGAGGUCUGAAAAUCUCCAGGAGGAGUUGGAGAGGGAAAACUUUCAAAGAAUUGUCAGAAUUUCUUUCCUCUCAGUCUUCCUUCAGCCCUGCUCCCAUUCAGUGUAACAGAAAAAUGUUUCCCUAGUACAAAUUCAGAGGCAGCCUGGGCAAAAUUGGUGAGGGGAAGUCCACCUAUGAAGUUAACCAAGGGAGAAUGGUCUUCCUCUUCUGUCUUCAGAAUUUUUCUUUUUGGUUCCUGCACCCUCUCAAUUAGCUCCUAUUCAAAGUAGUGAAGUAAUGUUUCUCCAUUGCACUGAAUGGAAGGGGCAAGAGGAAGGAACUUGUCUCUGAUUUUAAUUCAAGCUGGAGAAGAAUUCGGGGCUUGUCCUCUGUCCCCAUUGAAACUCCUGAAGGUCUUCUUCAAACCAAAGUUUGGAGAAGUGUGAUGGUUUCACUAGCAUAGAAAACCACUGCUCCACUUCUUCUGGAGAAUAAGAGCACAUCCAGAUGUAUGUAUUUUUUUUACCUGUUUGUGAAAUGGAAUAGCUUUAUAAGUGUCCUUCACCCUCCCAGAGCUAAAUAAAUAAUACUUUGACAAACUGAAUGCUGUCACUUGUAAAGAUUAUGCAAGUAUAGCAAUUUUAUUUUAUUUGCAGAUUUAUAAACUGCUUCACAACCAAACAUUACUGAAGCUGUGUACAGUAAAAUAACGAGGAUUCCUGAUGCAGUAAACUAC